rnacentral:sRNA from 1 species
GCUGGGCAUGGUGGUGUGUGCCUGUAGUUGCCAGUUAUCUGGGAGGUUGAGGGGGGAGGAUUGCUUGAGCCCUGGAGUUUGAGGCCAGCCUGGGCAACACACUGAGAACCCAUCUCAA